UCGUAGUAAGUGCAUCUCUUGAGGUCGUUUGAUAGCUUCCUUGCUCUGGCAUCAUCUAUGACGCGUGGGUUACUGGAACUUAUAGCAUCCUGCGUUCCCACCAGUACCAUUGGAAUUUCACUAGUGUUACGAUAGUUAGCCAUACGGCUGUAGUAGUGGUAAACAGUCUGGAAGCUAACUUCAUCUUCCAAGCUGAAGACAAAUAUAACAGCAUCCACCCACAUGGCAAACUGUGCCUCUGGAGGGCCACCUUCAUCUCUAAUCAGCAGCAGGUAGCUCUGUC
rnacentral:lncRNA from 1 species